UCACCAGCCCUUAGUAAUUCUUUAGGAGUGGGAAAACAAGGUUAAUGGCUACUACAUUAUAAAUAUUUUUAGGUGGUGUCUCAUUUUAUUGCUAUGACGAUUCACCAUAACUAAGGCCAUGUUUAAUUGGGAGCUUGCUUUCAGUUUCAGAGACUGAGUCCAUGACCACUGUGGUGGGGAGCAUGGCAAACAGGUAUGGUGUGGGAGAAGUAACUGAGAGCUUAUAUUUGAGGCAGACAGAGAUAAGGCCUGGUGUGGGCUUUUGAAACCUCAAAGCCCAGGCCAGUGACACACCUCCUUGUCCAAGGCCACACCUCCUAAGUCUUCCUAAAAUUGUUGUGCCAACUAUGAACCAAGCGUUCAAAAUAUGAGCCUCUGGGGGCCAUUCUCAUUCCAGGAACCACAGAUGAGGGUAAAGAAUCUUCUAGUGUUGAUUAUGGUGUUAACUGCAGAACUCUACAACCUUAAGAAAAAGUGGAUUCAUGUAUUUUAAAUUAGUAAAUUGUAUGGUAUAUGAACUAUUUAACUCAAGAAAACUGUUAACUUUUCCCUAAGAUGGAGGAAAACCUCAUUAGCCUUUCCUGUAGACAUUGUUUAGAAACUGUUGUGAAGUUUGAACAGGUUACUUCAGAAAACCUGAGAGAGCUUCUGUCUUUUUUUGUCUUUUCUAUUUAAAUCACUUCGCCUUCAUUUUGACUUUAUUUAAGUCACACAUGCCUUAACUUCUGACGAUGAAACCUUUUAUGAUCUUUAAGCCUUUCCUCUUUUCAAACGUAGGCAUUUGUCAUCAUAAUUUUUCUGUAAGCAACUUGCUAACUACAGCCAUAAUUUUUUUAUUAUUUUGUUAAAAUAUUUUCUACUGUUGUCACUUUUAUCUUAAACUCAUGAGUUACUUCAAAAUAUGUUAGUUUUCACCUAUUUGGUGAUGUUAAAGAAUGCAUAACUGAUUUACAGUUCCAUCAGUAUCAAAGAAUAGAUCCAAAGAGAUGUCGAUCCUUUAAAAUGUGUUGUUUUAUUUUAUGGCCCAUCACCCUCUCUGAAUGUAAAAGUUUCUGCUCUGCACUUGCUGGCUAGAGGGUGAUAUAUAUAAUUGCCUCUUUAGUCCUCUUACAUUUGUAUGUUCAGUGUUAUUUCUCACAGUAGUUUUAUCACGUAACAAGUGAGUAAACAGGAAUCUUAGUAAUAGUGUUACUUACCCUGUCCAAAAUGUAAACCAUCAGUGAACUUCGUGUACUGACAGCUUGGGAAUCUGCCCUAGAUUUCGGGCUUUAAGUUUGCUGACAACUGAUCUUAAGCUUUGAGUAGACAGGUUUCAGCACAACUGUCAUCGUGCUGGGUUGCAGUGAUAAGGUCUCUGCUGUGAACAUAGUCUUCAGCAUUUUACAUCACAGCAUUUCAAGUUGAAACUGUCCCUCCCCCUUCCCCUCCCCCAAGUUUGUUUUUUGUUUUUGGUUUUGGUUUUGGGUUUUUUUUUUGUCAUGCUUUUACUGUGUUUUCCUCUACUAUUGAGUGCAGCUAUUUUGUGGACCCAAACUUAAAAAUCACCCAAGACAUUGAUCUGAAGUUUGAUUAGCCAUCUUAAUCAACAAGGAGGACGGGGGACAGUGUCCACGUUUGGCCAUGAGCGCCAUGGCUGGGGCUCUGGAUGACUUUGCACAUAGCCUCGCCACUGGCUCGUGUCCAUUAAACCUUUCCUUUACUCACUAUUCUAAAGUAGCCUGCUAUAUAUCAUUUCCCAUACUAUAGUGGGAUACCUUUUUAUAUUGUAAAACUCUCCUUUGUAGGGCCCGGCAGGUUAGUCUUAGCAGCCUUUAAUACCUUUAAUCCCAGAAUUCAGAAGGCAAAAAGUCAGAACAUCUUAGGAUUCUGAUGCCAGCCGUGUUUACAUAGGAAUUCCAGAACAGCUAGAGCCAUAUAGAGAAAACGGUUCCUUGGAGGGGCUGGGGAGGAGAAAAUUAAAUAACAAAUAAAGAAAACUGUUUUUAGUAGUGCCCAGUGUGGCAGUAUACACUUGUCAUCCCAGUACUUGAAGCACAAGGACAAGAAUUCUAGGCGCCUGGGGAUAGACAGAGACAGAGAGAACAUGAAUAAGAGAAUAUCCUUUGUACAUUGAAAGUUUUAAAUUGCAUGUUAUUAAAUCUUGGAUUGAUACAAGAUUUUAUUAGAAAAGAUAACACAAUCAAUAUAUCAAUCCUUUAGUUUUCUCAUAAUGUUAAUUCUGCCUAACUUGUAGUACAGGUAAGACAUUUUUGUUUUGUUUUUGAGACAGGGUCUUUCUGUGUAGCCCUGGGUGGACUGGAAUUAUGUAGAUCAGGCUGCCCUCAAACUCAUAGAGAUCCACCUACCUAUGUAUCCUGAGUGCUGAGAUUAAAGAUGUGCACCACUAGCUCUAGCAAAAGCAAAUGUUCUUGUAAAGAAUGUUUUAGAGGCAUUUAUUCCAUCAGAAAGUUGGACUCCAUAUUAGAUAUUACUCGCUUUUUUAAAGAUUUAUUUAUGUUUAUGUGUAUAGAUGUUUCACCUGCAUUUGUGUCUGUGCACUACAUGCCUACAGUUAUCCAGAAGGUCAGAGGGGUCAGGUCCCCUGGAACAAGAGUUAAGGAUCGUGUGAACCAUCACUGUAUAGAUGCUGUGAAUCAGACCUGGGUCUUCUGUAAGGACAUGUAGUGCUCUUAACUGCUGAGCCAUCUCUCCAGCCCCAGUGCUACUUUUAGAUAAAGGUUAUGAUGCUCUAAAUGUUUGAAAAUCAAAGUUUUUAGGGAAGUCAAAAUAACACACUCGUUUUUCAGGCAUAAAGAUAAAAUGAAAAUACAUGAGAACAAAAUGUGCUAUAAACCAGUGUUUAAACAAGAAUUCUAAAGAUGCUAAUGUUACCAAGGUGGCUCAAGAGAAGGGUUGGGAAGGCACUCUUGAAUCUACAACAGACUGGAAAGCCAUGUAGGAACCCUCCUGACUCAUCCUGUAUUCUGUACUCACAGUCUUUAUGCUUUCCUUGCAGCCUGAAGAAUUAAGGGAGAUCAUUGAGAAGACGAGAGAGAUGGAGCAGAACAACGGACACUACUUCGACACUGCAAUUGUGAAUUCAGAUCUUGAUAAAGCCUAUCAGGAAUUGCUUAGGCUCAUUAACAAACUGGAUACUGAACCUCAGUGGGUGCCAUCCACCUGGCUAAGGUGAAGGAAAGGACUGUUCUGUGUCAUCAUGAUGAACUUUAUUUGGCAAACCGCCAACAGGAGGAUAGCCUUAACGCUGAGAGUUCAUGUCUUAAACUAGUGAGAAAGGUCCAUUAGGCAAUUUGUACAUAACACUUCCUGCACAUUGCUUUAGGGGACCUUGACUUGUUUGGAGACUGAAAAUGGAAACUUUCUUCAGAGCAUUUUUGAUUUAUCCUGGUAAAACCUUUUGUUUUCACCUUUCUGACUCUUUGCCUCUGGGUCAGAUGUCUAUAAAAAACAUGUAUGUAUAUAUGCAAUAGUCCAUUGUCUCACAUAGAUAUGAAUAUUAACAUUAUUUAACAUUUAACUUAAAUGACUUCAUGGGAUUGAGAGAAGGGGCUGUGCUUCUGUGCGCUGAGAAUAACAGUAUUUUCUUAAACAACUGACUUGGUCAUCAGAAAUAUUUCUU
rnacentral:lncRNA from 1 species